rnacentral:tRNA from 1 species
AAAUAAGAAGCAAUAAAUGCAUUUAGUUUCGACCUAAAAAUAAGAUUUAAUAUCCUUAUUUA